AAUGUGUGUUCAGCCCUUGGCUGUUCCUGAGGCCUGGCCUGGCUCCCUGCUGACCCCUUCUCAGACCCGGGAUGGCAGAGGCCGGCCUGAAGGGCUGGCUGCUGUGGGCCCUGCUCCUGCGUUUGGCCCAGAGCGAGCCUUACACACCCAUCCACCAGCCUGGCUACUGUGCCUUCUAUGACGAAUGUGGGAAGAACCCAGAGCUGUCUGGAGGCCUCAUGACACUCUCCAAUGUGUCCUGCCUGUCCAACACGCCGGCCCGCAAGAUCACAGGUGAUCACCUGAUCCUAUUACAGAAGAUCUGCCCCCGCCUCUACACCGGCCCCAACACCCAAGCCUGCUGCUCCGCCAAGCAGCUGGUAUCACUGGAAGCAAGUAUGUCGAUCACCAAGGCCCUCCUCACCCGCUGCCCAGCCUGCUCUGACAAUUUCGUGAACCUGCACUGCCACAACACGUGCAGCCCCAACCAGAGCCUCUUCAUCAACGUGACCCGUGUGGCCCAGCUAGGGGCUGGACAACUCCCAGCUGUGGUGGCCUAUGAGGCCUUCUACCAGCAUAGCUUUGCCGAGCAGAGCUAUGACUCCUGCAGCCGUGUGCGCAUCCCUGCAGCCGCCACGCUGGCUGUGGGCACCAUGUGUGGCGUGUAUGGCUCUGCCCUUUGCAAUGCCCAGCGCUGGCUCAACUUCCAGGGAGACACAGGCAAUGGUCUGGCCCCACUGGACAUCACCUUCCACCUCUUGGAGCCCGGCCAGGCCGUGGGGAGUGGGAUUCAGCCUCUGAAUGAGGGGGUUGCACGUUGCAAUGAGUCCCAAGGUGACGACGUGGUGGCCUGCUCCUGCCAGGACUGUGCUGCAUCCUGCCCUGCCAUAGCCCGCCCCCAGGCCCUGGACUCCACCUUCUACCUGGGCCGGAUGCCGGGCAGGCUGGUCCUCAUCAUUAUCCUCUGCUCUGUCUUCGCUGUGGUCACCAUCCUGCUCUUGGGACUCCGUGUGGCCCCUGCCAGGGACAAAAGCAAGAUGGUGGAUGCCAAGAAGAGCACCAGCCUCUCUGACAAGCUCAGCUUCUCCACCCACACCCUCCUUGGCCAGUUCUUCCAGGGCUGGGGCACGUGGGUGGCUUCGUGGCCUCUGACCAUCCUGGUGCUAUCUGUCAUCCCGGUGGUGGCCUUGGCAGCGGGCCUGGUCUUUACAGAACUCACUACGGACCCCGUGGAGCUGUGGUCGGCCCCCAGUAGCCAAGCCCGGAGUGAGAAGGCUUUCCAUGACCAGCAUUUCGGCCCCUUCUUCCGAACCAACCAGGUGAUCCUGACGGCUCCUAACCGGUCCAGCUACAGGUAUGACUCUCUGCUGCUGGGGCCCAAGAACUUCAGCGGGAUCCUGGACCUGGACUUGCUGCUGGAGCUGCUGGAGCUGCAGGAGAGGCUGCGGCACCUCCAGGUAUGGUUGCCCGAAGCACAGCGCAACAUCUCCCUGCGGGACAUCUGCUACGCCCCCCUCAAUCCGGACAAUACCAGUCUCUAUGACUGCUGCAUCAAUAGCCUCCUGCAGUAUUUCCAAAACAACCGCACGCUCCUGCUGCUCACGGCCAACCAGACACUGAUGGGGCAGACCUCCCAAGUCGACUGGAAGGACCAUUUUCUGUACUGUGCCAAUGCCCCACUCACCUUCAAGGACGGCACAGCCCUGGCCCUGAGCUGCAUGGCUGACUAUGGGGCCCCUGUCUUCCCCUUCCUUGCCAUUGGGGGGUACAAAGGGAAGGACUAUUCUGAGGCGGAGGCCCUGAUCAUGACAUUCUCCCUCAACAAUUACCCUGCUGGGGACCCCCGUCUGGCCCAGGCCAAGCUGUGGGAGGAGGCCUUCUUAGAGGAAAUGCGAGCCUUCCAGCGUCAGACGGCUGGCAUGUUCCAGGUCACGUUCAUGGCUGAGCGCUCUCUGGAAGACGAGAUCAAUCGCACCACAGCUGAAGACCUGCCCAUCUUUGCCACCAGCUACAUUGUCAUAUUCCUGUACAUCUCUCUGGCCCUGGGCAGCUAUUCCAGCUGGAGCCGAGUGAUGGUGGACUCCAAGGCCACGCUGGGCCUCGGCGGGGUGGCCGUGGUCCUGGGAGCAGUCAUGGCUGCCAUGGGCUUCUUCUCCUACCUGGGUAUCCGCUCCUCCCUGGUCAUCCUACAAGUGGUGCCUUUUCUGGUGCUGUCCGUGGGGGCUGAUAACAUCUUCAUCUUUGUUCUCGAGUACCAGAGGCUGCCCCGGAGGCCUGGGGAGCCACGAGAGGUCCACAUUGGGCGAGCCCUAGGCAGGGUGGCUCCCAGCAUGCUGUUGUGCAGCCUCUCUGAGGCUAUCUGCUUCUUCCUAGGGGCCCUGACCCCCAUGCCAGCUGUGCGGACCUUCGCCCUGACCUCUGGCCUUGCAGUGAUCCUUGACUUCCUCCUGCAGAUGUCAGCCUUUGUGGCCCUGCUCUCCUUGGACAGCAAGAGGCAGGAGGCCUCCCGGUUGGACGUGUGCUGCUGUGUCAAGCCCCAGGAGCUGCCCCCGCCUGGCCAGGGAGAGGGGCUCCUGCUUGGCUUCUUCCGAAAGGCCUAUGCGCCCUUCCUGCUGCACUGGAUCACUCGAGGGGUUGUGCUGCUGCUGUUUCUCGCCCUGUUCGGAGUGAGCCUCUACUACAUGUGCCACAUCAGCGUGGGACUGGACCAGGAGCUGGCCCUGCCCAAGGACUCGUACCUGCUUGACUAUUUCCUCUUUCUGAACCGCUACUUCGAGGUGGGGGCUCCGGUAUACUUUGUUACCACCUCGGGCUACAACUUCUCCAGCGAGGCUGGGAUGAAUGCCAUCUGCUCCAGUGCAGGCUGCAACAACUUCUCCUUCACCCAGAAGAUCCAGUAUGCCACAGAGUUCCCUGAGCAGUCUUACCUGGCCAUCCCUGCCUCCUCCUGGGUGGAUGACUUCAUUGACUGGCUGACCCCGUCCUCCUGCUGCCGCCUUUAUAUAUCUGGCCCCAAUAAGGACAAGUUCUGCCCCUCAACCGUCAACUCUCUGAACUGCCUAAAGAACUGCAUGAGCAUCACGAUGGGCUCUGUGAGGCCCUCGGUGGAGCAGUUCCAUAAGUAUCUUCCCUGGUUCCUGAACGACAGGCCCAACAUCAAAUGUCCCAAAGGCGGCCUGGCAGCAUACAGCACCUCUGUGAACUUGACUUCAGAUGGCCAGGUUUUAGACACAGUUGCAUUCUGUCACCCAGGCUAGAGUACAGUGGCACAAUCCUGGCUCACUGCAACCUCUACCUCCUGGAUUCAACCUCCAGGUUCAUGGCCUAUCACAAGCCCCUGAAAAACUCACAGGAUUACACAGAAGCUCUGCGGGCAGCUCGGGAGCUGGCAGCCAACAUCACUGCUGACCUGCGGAAAGUGCCUGGGACAGACCCGGCUUUUGAGGUCUUCCCCUACACGAUCACCAAUGUGUUUUAUGAGCAGUACCUGACCAUCCUCCCUGAGGGGCUCUUCAUGCUCAGCCUCUGCCUUGUGCCCACCUUUGCUGUCUCCUGCCUCCUGCUGGGCCUGGACCUGCGCUCCGGCCUCCUCAACCUGCUCUCCAUUGUCAUGAUCCUCGUGGACACCGUCGGCUUCAUGGCCCUGUGGGGCAUCAAUUACAACGCUGUGUCCCUCAUCAACCUGGUCUCGGCGGUGGGCAUGUCUGUGGAGUUCGUGUCCCACAUUACCCGCUCCUUUGCCAUCAGCACCAAGCCCACCUGGCUAGAGAGGGCCAAAGAGGCCACCAUCUCUAUGGGAAGUGCGGUGUUUGCAGGUGUGGCCAUGACCAACCUGCCUGGCAUCCUUGUCCUGGGCCUCGCCAAGGCCCAGCUCAUUCAGAUCUUCUUCUUCCGCCUCAACCUCCUGAUCACUCUCCUGGGCCUGCUGCACGGCUUGGUCUUCCUGCCCGUCAUCCUCAGCUACGUGGGGCCUGACGUCAACCCGGCUCUGGCACUGGAGCAGAAGCGGGCUGAGGAGGCGGCAGCAGCAGUCAUAGUGGCCUCCUGCCCAAAUCACCCCUCCCGAGUCUCCACAGCUGACAACAUCUAUGUCAACCACAGCUUUGAAGGUUCUAUCAAAGGUGCUGGUGCCAUCAGCAACUUCUUGCCCAACAAUGGGCAGCAGUUCUGAUACAGCCAGACGUCCUAUCUAGGCUCUAUGGCCCUGAACCAAAGGGUUAUGGGGGUCUUCCCUGUGACUGCCCCUUGACACACGCCCUCUUCGAAUCCUAGGGGAGGCCGUUCCCAUGAGACUGCCUGUCACUGGAGGAUGGCCUGCUCUUGAGGUAUCCGGGCAGCACCACUGAUGGCUCCUUUGCUCCCAUAGUGGGUCCCGUUUCCAAGUCACCUAGGCCUUGGGCAGUGCCUCCUCCUUCUGGGCCUGGGUCUGGAAGUUGGCAGGAACAGACACACUCCACGUUUGUCCCACACUCACUUUCCUAGGAGCCCACUUCUCAUCCAACUUUUCCCUUCUCAGUUCCUCUCUCGAAAGUCUUAAUUCUGUGUCACUAAGUCUUUAACACGUAGCAGUGUCCCUGAGAACACAGACAGUGACCACUACCCUGGGUGUGAUAUCACAGGAGGCCAGGGAGAGGCAAAGGCUCAGGCCAAGAGCCAACGCUGUGGGAGGCCGGUCAGCAGCCACUCCCUCCAGGGCGCACCUGCAGGUCUGCCAUCCACGGCCUUUUCUGGCAAGAGAAAGGCCCAGGAAGGAUGUUCUCAUAAGCAACUUGGUCAUGGAUUAGCCCCUCCUGGAAAAUGGUGUUGGGUUUGGUCUCCAGCUCCAAUUCUUAUUAAGGCUUUGCUGCCAGUCAAGGCCACCCAGGAGUCUGAAGGUUGGGAGCUCUUGGGGCUGGGCUGGUCCUCCCAUCUUCACCUCGGGCCUGGAUCCCAGGCCUCAAACCAGCCCAACCCGAGCUUUUGGACAGCUCUCCAGAAGCAUGAACUGCAGUGGAGAUGAAGAUCCUGGCUCUGUGCUGUGCACAUAGGUGUUUAAUAAACAUUUGUUGGCAGAAA